GAUGAACGCUGACAGAAUGCUUAACACAUGCAAGUCGAUGGGGAAGUGGUGCUUGCACCAUGGUAACCAUGGCGGACGGGUGGGUAACGCGUAAGGAACUUACCUGCGGGACCGGGAUAACAGCAGGAAACUGCUGACAAGACCGGAUAAGGUCAUUAAGCUGCAUAGCUUAGUGAUGAAAGGAGACGCCUGCGGAGAGCCUUGCGUCCUAUUAGCUAGUUGGAGGGGUAACGGCCCACCAAGGCGAAGAUAGGUAGCCGGCCUGAGAGGGUGGACGGCCACAAGGGGACUGAGAUACGGCCCUUACUCCUACGGGAGGCAGCAGUGGUGAAUAUUGGACAAUAGGGGCAACCCUGAUCCAGCAAUUCUGUGUGCACGAAGACGGUUUUCGGAUUGUAAAGUGCUUUCAGCAGGGAAGAAGGAAGUGACGGUACCUGCAGAAGAAGCGACGGCUAAAUACGUG
rnacentral:rRNA from 1 species